UAACUUCGGGAAACCGGAGCUAAUACCGGAUAAUAUUUUGAACCGCAUGGUUCAAAAGUGAAAGACGGUCUUGCUGUCACUUAUAGAUGGAUCCGCGCUGCAUUAGCUAGUUGGUAAGGUAACGGCUUACCAAGGCAACGAUGCAUAGCCGACCUGAGAGGGUGAUCGGCCACACUGGAACUGAGACACGGUCCAGACUCCUACGGGAGGCAGCAGUAGGGAAUCUUCCGCAAUGGGCGAAAGCCUGACGGAGCAACGCCGCGUGAGUGAUGAAGGUCUUCGGAUCGUAAAACUCUGUUAUUAGGGAAGAACAUAUGUGUAAGUAACUGUGCACAUCUUGACGGUACCUAAUCAGAAAGCCACGGCUAACUACGUGCCAGCAGCCGCGGUAAUACGUAGGUGGCAAGCGUUAUCCGGAAUUAUUGGGCGUAAAGCGCGCGUAGGCGGUUUUUUAAGUCUGAUGUGAAAGCCCACGGCUCAACCGUGGAGGGUCAUUGGAAACUGGAAAACUUGAGUGCAGAAGAGGAAAGUGGAAUUCCAUGUGUAGCGGUGAAAUGCGCAGAGAUAUGGAGGAACACCAGUGGCGAAGGCGACUUUCUGGUCUGUAACUGACGCUGAUGUGCGAAAGCGUGGGGAUCAAACAGGAUUAGAUACCCUGGUAGUCCACGCCGUAAACGAUGAGUGCUAAGUGUUAGGGGGUUUCCGCCCCUUAGUGCUGCAGCUAACGCAUUAAGCACUCCGCCUGGGGAGUACGACCGCAAGGUUGAAACUCAAAGGAAUUGACGGGGACCCGCACAAGCGGUGGAGCAUGUGGUUUAAUUCGAAGCAACGCGAAGAACCUUACCAAAUCUUGACAUCCUUUGACAACUCUAGAGAUAGAGCCUUCCCCUUCGGGGGACAAAGUGACAGGUGGUGCAUGGUUGUCGUCAGCUCGUGUCGUGAGAUGUUGGGUUAAGUCCCGCAACGAGCGCAACCCUUAAGCUUAGUUGCCAUCAUUAAGUUGGGCACUCUAAGUUGACUGCCGGUGACAAACCGGAGGAAGGUGGGGAUGACGUCAAAUCAUCAUGCCCCUUAUGAUUUGGGCUACACACGUGCUACAAUGGACAAUACAAAGGGCAGCGAAACCGCGAGGUCAAGCAAAUCCCAUAAAGUUGUUCUCAGUUCGGAUUGUAGUCUGCAACUCGACUACAUGAAGCUGGAAUCGCUAGUAAUCGUAGAUCAGCAUGCUACGGUGAAUACGUUCCCGGGUCUUGUACACACCGCCCGUCACACCACGAGAGUUUGUAACACCCGAAGCCGGUGGAGUAACCUUUUAGGAGCUAGCCGUCGAAGGUGGGACAAAUGAUUGGGGUGAAGUCGUAACAAGGUAGCCGUAUCGGAAGGUGCGGCU
rnacentral:rRNA from 1 species